UAUGGUAUGUGCCAGCAGCCGCGGUAAUACGUAGGGGGCAAGCGUUAUCCGGAUUUACUGGGUGUAAAGGGAGCGUAGACGGACUGGCAAGUCUGAUGUGAAAGGCGGGGGCUCAACCCCUGGACUGCAUUGGAAACUGUUAGUCUUGAGUGCCGGAGAGGUAAGCGGAAUUCCUAGUGUAGCGGUGAAAUGCGUAGAUAUUAGGAGGAACACCAGUGGCGAAGGCGGCUUACUGGACGGUAACUGACGUUGAGGCUCGAAAGCGUGGGGAGCAAACAGG
rnacentral:rRNA from 1 species